GACGAACGCUGGCGGCGUGCCUAACACAUGCAAGUCGAACGGAGUUCCUGUAAUUGAAGCUUCGGCAGAUUUUACUUGAACUUAGUGGCGGACGGGUGAGUAACGCGUGAGGAACCUGCCUUCCAGAGGGGGACAACAGUUGGAAACGACUGCUAAUACCGCAUAAUGCACAUUUAUCGCAUGAUUUAUGUGCCAAAGAUUUUAUCGCUGGAAGAUGGCCUCGCGUCUGAUUAGAUAGUUGGUGAGGUAACGGCCCACCAAGUCGACGAUCAGUAGCCGGACUGAGAGGUUGAACGGCCACAUUGGGACUGAGACACGGCCCAGACUCCUACGGGAGGCAGCAGUGGGGAAUAUUGCGCAAUGGGGGCAACCCUGACGCAGCAACGCCGCGUGAAGGAAGAAGGUCUUCGGAUUGUAAACUUUUGUCUUUAGGGAAGAUAAUGACGGUACCUAAGGAGGAAGCUCCGGCUAACUACGUGCCAGCAGCCGCGGUAAUAC
rnacentral:rRNA from 1 species